CUUUCAGGCGCAGCUAAAAGCUGUCAGACCCGGAAAUCCUUCCUCUUGUCCUGCAGACUCAACCGCGAGCAGACAACUGCCUCACUCCUCCUCACAUCUGCGAAGUCUGUAGAGCUUGCAUCAUGUUUAAAUUUCAACACGAAGAUAUAAGGAUGAAGAGGCCUGACAGGAUGCAUGAUGGGUACACCUGAUAAGACGUGACCGUUUAAGUCUCAAGAUGACCAAGAAGAAGCACGGACUCUGAGAUGUCCUGCAGUGGGCCGAGGAGACUCUCGGGAUGAACUCCUGUCUCGUCGGCUGAUCAGGAGAUGAGCUGUUGAAGCAGCAGUGGGCCAGAAACAUGAUCAGUGUUUGCUUCAUCUAACCAGUGGUUACAGAGCAAAAGACCCAUGUGGGAGGACAAGGAGGGCUCUCAUUUGUGGAGCUGAAGCUGAAGGGUCAAUGUCCAGAGGACAUGUCAAGAUAUUUGGCAGAUUUUUGUUUGUAUAUGAAAUGCCUUCCACCAAUAAAAUCUGAACAAAUA